CCUACGGGAGGCAGCAGUGAGGAAUAUUGGGCAAUGGGGGCGAGCCUGAACCAGCAAAGUAGCGUGAAGGAUGACGGCCCUACGGGUUGUAAACUUCGUUUAUAAAGGAAUAAAGUGAGGCACGGGUGCCUCUUUGGAUGUACUUUAUGAAUAGGGAUCGGCGAAAUCCGCGCCAGCAGCCGCGGUAAGAAGGAGGAUAGGAGCGUUAUCCGGAUUGGUAUGGUUUAAAGGGAGCGUCGAUGGGCUGUUAAGUCAGUUGUGAAAGUUUGCGGUUAAACCGUAAAAUAGCCAUUGAUACUGGCCGCCUUGAGUACAGUUGAGGUAGGCGGAAUUCGUGGUGUAGCGGUGAAAUGCUUAGAUAUAACGAAGAACUCCGAUUGCGAAGGCAGCUUACUAGCCUGCCACUGACAUUGAGGCUCGAAAGUGUGGGUAUCAAACAGGAUUAGAUACCCCGGUAGUC
rnacentral:rRNA from 1 species